AAACCUGUACGUCUUUGGUGUGUGGGAGGAAAACCGGAGCUCCCGCAGAAAACCCGCGCGGUCAGAAGGAGAACGCACAAUCUCCGCACAGACGGCACCGGUUGUCAGGAUCGAACCCGGGUCUCUUUCGCUUGCAGCAACUCUACCGCUGCGCCACUGUGCUGACC